AUGCUAUUCUAGAGAUAGAAAGUUACUUCGGUACAUCGGUGACAGGUGGUGCAUGGUUAUCGUCAGCUCGUGUCGUGAGAUGUGGUUAAGUCCCGCAACGAGCGCAACCCCUAUUGUUAGUUGCCAUCAUUCAGUUGGGCACUCUAGCGAGACUGCCGGUAAUAAACCGGAGGAAGGUGGGGAUGACGUCAAAUCAUCAUGCCCCUUAUGACCUGGGCUACACACGUGCUACAAUGGUUGGUACAACGAGUUGCGAGUCGGUGACGGCGAGCUAAUCUCUUAAAGCCAAUCUCAGUUCGGAUUGUAGGCUGCAACUCGCCUACAUGAAGUCGGAAUCGCUAGUAAUCGCGGAUCAGCACGCCGCGGUGAAUACGUUCCCGGGCCUU
rnacentral:rRNA from 1 species